CCAAGGGCGACGACGGGUAGCCGGCCUGAGAGGAUGACCGGCCACACUGGGACUGAGACACGGCCCAGACUCCUACGGGAGGCAGCAGUGGGGAAUAUUGCACAAUGGGCGAAAGCCUGACGCAGCGACGCCGCGUGAGGGAUGACGGCCUUCGGGUUGUAAACCUCUUUCAGCAGGGACGAAGCGCAAGUGACGGUACCUGCAGAAGAAGCACCGGCCAACUACGUGCCAGCAGCCCGCGGCCGA
rnacentral:rRNA from 1 species